GUGAAGAACAUUUCAUCUGCUAAAGGCAGUAAGCAGGCGGCUUUAGCUUUACUGCUGGCACGUUAUUGUUCUUUAAAAGAAAGAAAAUUAUGUAUUAUAAAGCACUGUGUUAUGUAACCUUUCCUCACAAAUGCCAUCAGAAGGGCCCAGAAACCUUACAAACCCACAUUUGCAAUGUCUCGGGCCUUGGAGAAGAUAAAGGAGUAAAGAAAGAUUUGUUUUCAUAGUUAGAGGCCAGUUCUGGGAGUCCUGGGACUCUUGAACUGCUACAUGCUGCACAUCCAGCUUUUGGGCAGGUCUGUUAGGAGAAAGAGGAGACAAAUGCUGAGCAUUACAACCACAAACCACAGCUGUUGAUGGGAAUUGGCAGGAGACCAGGGAAUGCUGGGAAGCAUAGAUGGCCUGCAGCAGAAGGUUGUAAGCUGCCAGAUGCACUCCUUGUGGUUAAGAAAUUGGCACUGUCCAAGGAGAGGACAACAAACUUGGCCCAAAGGGGCUGUACCAGAAGCCAGCCAGUUUUGCCCUGUGAGAAUCAGCCCACGCAACCACAGCUCCCACUGGUGAGAAGUUAUUCAGACAAGUCCCUCCUCUAACCACUCACCCAGUGAGUUGGCUUCAUCCAAGCUGCUGCCAUGGUCAUGCAAAAUGAACAACAGACAGGUAAACAGCUAUUAUGGCACGCACAGAAAACUGUCCUGUUUUAGUUGCAUCUUA